UACAGAGGUCUCAAGCGUUGUUCGGAUUCAUUGGGCGUAAAGGGUGCGUAGGCGGUAUUGCAAGUCGGAUGUGAAAUCUUGGGGCUCAACCCCAAAACUGCAUUCGAUACUGCGGUGCUCGAGGACUGGAGAGGAGACUGGAAUUCACGGUGUAGCAGUGAAAUGCGUAGAUAUCGUGAGGAAGGCCAGUGGCGAAGGCGGGUCUCUGGACAGUUCCUGACGCUGAGGCACGAAGGCCAGGGGAGCAAAC
rnacentral:rRNA from 1 species